rnacentral:lncRNA from 1 species
GCCGUUAUCAUCCCCCGCAGAGGGGAGGGGCAGCAAGAGCCCUUUCUGGCUCCUUUCUGACACCAUGAAGACCUGGGCUGUGGAGCUAGGGAUAAGGAAAACAAACACCAUGACCCUCACACUUUAAAAGAAGCAUGUCCUCCUGAUCUUCAAACAUCAGAAGAAAGGACAAGAUAAGGCAGAUAUUUCAACUGUCAAAUCAACACUUCCAGCCAUGGCUUGGUUCCAGGUGAUGCUGUUUGUCUUUGCUGUGCUGCUACCAUUGCCACCCACAGAAGGAAAGGAUCCAGACUUCGCUACUUUGACAACCAACCAAAUACAAGUUCAAAGAGAGAUCAUAGCUAAACACAAUGAACUGAGGAGACAAGUUAGCCCCCCUGGCAGCAACAUACUAAAAAUGGAAUGGAACGUACAAGCAGCAGCAAAUGCUCAAAAGUGGGCUAAUAACUGUAUUUUAGAACACAGUAGUACAGAAGACCGGAAAAUCAAUAUAAAAUGUGGCGAGAAUCUCUAUAUGUCGACUGACCCUACAUCCUGGAGAACCGUAAUUCAAAGCUGGUAUGAAGAAAAUGAAAACUUCGUUUUCGGCGUAGGAGCUAAACCCAAUUCCGCUGUCGGACACUACACUCAGCUUGUUUGGUAUUCAUCUUUCAAAGUUGGAUGUGGAGUUGCUUACUGUCCCAAUCAAGAUACCCUGAAAUACUUCUAUGUUUGCCAUUACUGUCCUAUGGGUAACAACGUGAUGAAAAAGAGUACCCCAUAUCAUCAAGGGACACCUUGUGCUAGUUGUCCCAAUAACUGUGAUAAUGGAUUGUGCAGUAAGUGUGAUGUGA